ACCCUACGGGAAUCAGCAGUGAGGAAUUUUGCCCAAUGGGCGAAAGCCUGGCGCAGCGACGCCGCGUGGAUGAUGAAGUCGGCCUUCGGGUUGUAAACUCCUGUCAGAGGUGAAGAAUGCCCGCAAGGGCUUGACGGUAACCUCAGAGGAAGCCCCGGCUAAUUACGUCCCCUAACCAGCCCGGGUAAUACGUAGGGGGCAAGCGUUGGUCGGAAUUACUGGUCGUAAAUGGAGUGCAGGGGGCCGGUUAAGUCGAAGAUGAAAUCCCGAGGCUUAAACUUCCGAAACUGUCUUUCGUAUACUGAUCGGCUUGAAGGUGGCUGAUGAGGAGCGGAAUUCCCCGGUGGAGCGGAAAUUUCAAUGUGCAUAGAUAAAAUGGGGAGGAACACUCAGAGGCGAAGGCGGCUCUCUAACCUAGUCCUGACGCUGAGACUAGAAAGCUAGGGGAGCAAACGGGAUUAGAUACCCCGGUUAGUCCUCCCCGUAAACGAUGGACACUAGAUGUUCUCGCGUUCAGGCGGGAGUGUCGUAGCUAACGCGUUAAGUGUCCCGCCUGGGGAGUACCGUCGCAAGGCUGAAACUCAAAGGAAUUGACGGAAA
rnacentral:rRNA from 1 species